AUCUGUGGUAAUUCUAGAGCUAAUACAUGCUAAAAACCCCAACUUCGGGAGGGGUGUAUUUAUUAGAUAAAAAACCAAUGCCCUCCGGGGCUCCUUGGUGAUUCAUGAUAACUUAACGAAUCGCAUGGCCUUGCGCCGGCGAUGGUUCAUUCAAAUUUCUGCCCUAUCAACUUUCGAUGGUAGGAUAGUGGCCUACCAUGGUAUCAACGGGUAACGGAGGAUUAGGGUUCGAUCCCGGAGAGGGAGCCUGAGAAACGGCUACCACAUCCAAGGAAGGCAGCAGGCGCGCAAAUUACCCAAUCCCGACACGGGGAGGUAGUGACAAUAAAUACUGAUACAGGGCUCUUUUGGGUCUUGUAAUUGGAAUGAGUACAAUUUAAAUACAUUAACGAGGAACAAUUGGAGGGCAAGUCUGGUGCCAGCAGCCGCGGUAAUUCCAGCUCCAAUAGCGUAUAUUAAAGUUGUUGCAGUUAAAAAGCUCGUAGUUGAACCUUGGGCUUGGUUGGCCGGUCCGCCUCACCGCGUGCACUGGUCCGACCGAGCCUUUCCUUCUGAGAAACCGCAUGCCCUUCACUGGGCGUGUCGGGGAAUCAGGACUUUUACUUUGAAAAAAUUAGAGUGUUCAAAGCAGGCAUAUGCUCGAAUACAUUAGCAUGGAAUAAUAGAAUAGGACGUGUGGUUCUAUUUUGUUGGUUUCUAGGACCGCCGUAAUGAUUAAUAGGGAUAGUCGGGGCUGUCUGUAUUCCAAUGUCAGAGGUGAAAUUCUUGGAUUACUGGAAGACAAACUACUGCGAAAGCAUUCAGCAAGGAUGUUUUCAUUAAUCAGUGAACGAAAGUUAGGGGAUCGAAGACGAUCAGAUACCGUCGUAGUCUUAACCAUAAACUAUGCCGACUAGGGAUCGGACGAUGUUAUCAUUUUGACUCGUUCGGCACCUUACGAGAAAUCAUAAGUUUUUGGGUUCUGGGGGGAGUAUGGUCGCAAGGCUGAAACUUAAAGAAAUUGACGGAAGCGCACCACCAGGAGUGGAGCCUGCGGCUUAAUUUGACUCAACACGGGAAAACUCACGAGGUCCGGACAUACUUAGGAUUGACAGAUUGAGAGCUCUUUCUUGAUCGUAUGGAUGGU
rnacentral:rRNA from 1 species